GCUAUACACACUCCCAUGCCUCACGUCUGUUAUGGCGAGGAGGUGGGAUUAGCCAUCUAAUCUCCAACAAAUGAAAAUUCAAUCAAAGUUGCCUCCAAACAAAUACACCUCUAUUGAGUACCAUGCUUUUUGGUGACUGCUCCGGUAAAAGUCUCUGUGGUGGUAAUUUGCUGAACACUGGGAGAAAUGAGCAGUUUUGAGGAUGAGCUAUACACACUAUUCUGUAACAUUCUCGAAAAAUUACCGUUAGUCAUCCUCAAAUUUAUGAAAUUAUAAUUUAUUUAUUUUCUACGUCUCUAUUAUUCUACACACUCCGGAUCAAUAGGUGGCGCCUUGCACCCCCUUCAACGAUGGUCUACCUGGCGAAGUUUGCCAUCUGCCAAUAAUAACAACGAGGAAGAAAAAGAAGCGUAAGCUCAUUGGUUGUUUCCUGGGUGUGUUUUUCUGGUGACGCACUUCCCUUUUUUUUCCUCGUCUCUGAUUGGUUUCUGUCACGGCAGGGACCCGCCUAUUACAAACGUUGCUGGCUUUGAUGAACACAAUGUUAAUCACGCGAAUGAACGUAGCGUUAUCACCGGUAGUUAGCGAAUAUCACCGUUGUUUCCGCCUCGUCGAAGUGAAUUUGUCGGUGACUGAACUGAGUUUGCUAGGUUAGCUCACUAGCACAUGUUGUACGGGGAGUCGCACGGAUUGACCCGGGACUUCUGCCUAGUUUGCAUCAGGCUAAUUCGCCGAACGACAUCUACAAGAAACGCACGUUCUUGGGGAAAAUGGGCGAAAAGUGGACCGAUGAAAACCUCCAGAAGCUGUACGCUGCAAUGAAAAGCAACCUCCCCGAGCAGAGCAGAACGUGCUCUUACUUCAGGGUACUGAAAGGUCUGGACUGGACUACGGUGGCUUUCCCUCCUUUCUCUGCUGAAGAGUGCCAAGCAAAGUGGGGACAAGUUUUGCACAAGAUGCGCAAGUAUCGGUCCCUCACAGAGCUCAUAGACGAAGCUGAAUGUGUCCUUUCAAAUACUCACCAACAAAGUGAGGCUGUAGUGAAAUGUCUUGUUGAGCCCAAGAUGCCAGCCCGAUCUGGUAAUUCCAUUUUUGUAAAAGAUCAGAUGGCACUUCUUAAGGAGCAAGUCCCAAAUGCAAGGAACCGCUUCCUCAAAGCCAACCAAAACUGGAAUGACCUCUCCACAGAGGAGAAGAAAUGCUACAAAAUAAUAGUACAACAAAACGCAAAAAAAUAUUCAAUGGACCUGCAUGAGUGGUUUAAGACAUUGACGGCAGCAGAACAGGAGGGAUAUAGAACAUCUAACCCCAGAAAAUAUAAGUACAUUGAAGCCAUACAUAGCAACCAUGAGAGGGAAGAACAGAACAAUCAUGAUAUGGAAGACCAGAACAAUCAUGAGGUGGAAGACCAGAACAAUCAUAAGAGGGAAGAACUUUGCCCAAACAGACCGUCAGAUUCAGAAGAUGAAGACAUUGAGGACAGCAGCAGUGACGAAGAAGAGGACGAUCUAAACAGUGAUGAGGUUAGUAAACGAAAGCAUAAUUUUGUAUUCAGUUUUUUAAUUGUGCAUCCGGCUGUUAUAAAAAUAUAA
ensembl:lncRNA